AGAGGUCCCGAGCGUUGUUCGGAUUCACUGGGCGUAAAGGGUGCGUAGGUGGUGGGGUAAGUCGGAUGUGAAAUCUCGGAGCUCAACUCCGAAAUGGCAUUGGAAACUACCCUGCUGGAGGUUUGGAGGGGGGACUGGAAUUCUCGGUGUAGCAGUGAAAUGCGUAGAUAUCGAGAGGAACACCAGUGGCGAAGGCGAGUCCCUGGACAAAACCUGACACUGAGGCACGAAAGCUAGGGGAGCAAACAGGAUUAGAUACUCUGGUAGUCCUAGCCGUAAACGGUGCUUGCUUGCUGUAAAAGGAAUCGACCCCUUUUGUGGCGAAGCCAACGCGAUAAGCAAGCCGCCUGGGAAGUACGGUCGCAAGAUUA
rnacentral:rRNA from 1 species